CAGUAGCCGCGGGAAAACGGAGGGUGCAAGCGUUAAUCGGAAUUACUGGGCGUAAAGCGCACGCAGGCGGUCUGACAAGUCAGAUGUGAAAUCCCCGGGCUUAACCUGGGAACUGCAUUUGAAACUGUCAGGCUGGAGUCUUGUAGAGGGGGGUGGAAUUCCAGGUGUAGCGGUGAAAUGCGUAGAGAUCUGGAGGAAUACCGGUGGCGAAGGCGGCCCCCUGGACAAAGACUGACGCUCAGGUGCGAAAGCGUGGGGAGCAAACAGGAUUAGAUACCCGUGUAGUCCCUGUCUCUUAUAU
rnacentral:rRNA from 1 species